UAUCAAGAUGGCGGCUACAGUUUUGGUGGCCAACUAGCCAUCCCGUUUUUUUUUUUUUUUUUUUUUUUUUUUUUAAGAUCAGUGGGCAUCCACAAUAAGGGUUAAUUUGAAAACUUACAGCAUUGUUACACUCUCAAUGUUCUUUCCGCAAGCACAGACUUGUUCAAUUGCAUCAUCGGCAGUUGUGUUUGUUAACUUUGAAGGCCAAUCAACACUCUGAUCCCGCGGGCGAGACACGUCGGCUGGAACCACUCGAGCAGACGAUGACGCGCGAAAGAAAUCCUUGGCCCUGAUCGAGCACCGCCGAGCCGGACACCUCACCACGGGCGGCUCUCGGCUACCUGUCACAAUCGUUCAAAUCGUUAACGAUGCGCUAUUGGUGACGCUGACCUAUCUAGAUGGGAGCUAUACGGGGAUAUUACUUGACUGCAACAAAAAAUAAGCCAGACAGAGCUGCUUUUUUUUUUUUUUUUGGUGCGGAGUGCGCUCAGGUACCGUAAAGACGACAGCCGGCUGUUUUGCGCCAGACUGAAGUUGCCGUCGGUGCGUCUGCGCCUGCCUCGGAGGUGCAAGUCAGCCGCGACGGCGAGCAGAGAAUUCAAAAGCCGCAGGCCAAGCGGGACCCUUCCUCCGGUAACCGAGCGGCCGUGCGCGCCACCUUCUGGUCUCGGUGGCGGCCCUCCGGCUUGCCAAAGUCCUGCGGGCGACGCGUAAACUAGCGCGUCGCCUCUUUUCGACGAGCUCCGAGACUUCGAGACACCCCGAGGGCCGGACCUGAACGUAAGAAGUGUUAACAAGCAUGAGCGCUUCGUAGAGGGAUCUUUGUGCUGCUCUGUUUGAGUCCAAAUUUGUUUUAUGUGGCUAUUGAUUAUUAAGUAUUGUACUGUAUUUCCCAUGUGAAGAUUGCAUAUCCCGCUGUUGCUCUUGGUAUCUUCCAUGAAACGACAACAGAAUAUUGUACCUUAUAGAGCUCGUGCACUUACGUCAUAAAAAUCACGUGACUUUUGUUUACGUCGCCAUAUUGCCAGUCAAGCUAAGCAUUGGUCAAUGCUAGGUCGGUUGGAGACGACACAAAAAUAUGUCUUAUGUCUGGGCACGACGCCCAGAGCAUUGUCCGGAUACUGUUAGACAUUAAGAAGGUGAAAAUACACGAAGGUGCUUGGAAAAAUUAGAGGACUCCUGCAUAGAGGACUCUUAUUCAAUGCCGAAGUUGAUGUUUUCGCCGAAAAGAAAUUGGACUGUUAAUUCGCUUGUCUUGGACGACUGGAUCUACACAUGGAUCUGGUGAGUUAAUCGUCGAGAUUUACACGUAAAAGAUUGAAAGUGUAGAAAAGUUUGGACGCAUACGAAUACUUUGUUGCUGGAUCUGCUCUCAUCAAGAAUGCAUCCCACAUAGUGACGGUUUUGACAGCUUGUGAACGCGGAAGUGUGUUCGGCGACACGUUAACCUCUGCCGGAAUCCAUUGAUCUUUUCAGCUAGUAUUCAAUACAAAUAUAUUUAAAUAAAUGACCCCUGGUUUUACACAAACUCGCAUUCAUUAACUAUGAGGAAAAAAAAAAAAAAGGAAAAGUCGUCUCCACGGAACGUACACGGAAGCGAUUGAGGCCACAAUUAACCUCCGUAAACUUCUGCAACAGAGUUUUUUUUUGAUACGCAUUGUUCUCAAACGAGCCAACUUGGCAUUAUCAAUACUUUUUGGUAAUUUGAGAUUGAGAAGAGUAAUUCCUACCUGAAAUGAAGCGAUCGCUACACAAGUGUGUGUAUUUUGGUUGGGCACCAUUCGCCAUGUUUAAUUACCGAAAUUUGUCGCUAUUUUCUGGUCUUUUCAGUUGGUAUUCCAUAGAAUGAUCGAUUAGAAUAUCUGUCUCAUCUGUUGUGACAACCAACAGCACAACAGGUCUCGGGUAUUGUAAAUAUUCUCGUCCCACGUCAAGCAGCUCUGUUUGACCGCCAAUAUGGCGCCGUGAAAAUGAUGACGUCACGUGCACGAGAACUCUAUUGGGAGCGGUCUAAACAUGUACACAAAGUUUAUUUCUUUUGAAUCCAGAAGUCACCAAAGCAGUUUUGUCAACUAUUACUCAUUUUAGAGGCUUGCUCACUCAUAAGAAAACGCCCGGCAGUGACGUGCGCUGAGGUCAGACUGACAAAUUUGCAUUUCAUUGGCUGCCCGACAAAACGGGUCAAAUUUUCUGUCAUCAUCUUUCAAGCAGAUCUUACAUUUCUGACUGUCCAGUGUUGAGAACGGUUCCGGGUCGGCUAUAAAAUCUUUGCCGCUUCACGUCGCGCACAAGGCGAGCCGACGAGUUUGUUUCGACUUCCUGAAUCAAGGCCGCGCAUCCGCAUUGAGGAGGAACCUCAAAACGAUUACAAUGAACUUCACACAUCCGCCCAAUUAACUGCUUGAAACAAAAUCUUAAAGGUCCUGACACCCUCGUCGUAAACGGGUGGGGGGUGGAGCAGGUGACCGGCCCCAUUUUCCCACGAGUCCUGGCCCUCCCGCAGGCCACCUGUACUCGGGCACCGCUGGCUGAUGAAUUUUUCAACAGGACACGCAGAGCCUCGUCACGUUCCUGCACCCCCGCCGCUCGCU